CGUAUCACCCAAGACAACUUUACGGAGUUGACGAUUGACGGAGCGAAGCGACGUCAAAGCGUUCAUUAAAGUCGAGUUGGCUUAGGGAUACGUUCGUUGGGUAGGGGAGCGUUCUGUAAGCCUGUGAAGGUGUGUCGUGAGGCAUGCUGGAGGUAUCAGAAGUGCGAAUGCUGACAUAAGUAACGAUAAAGCGGGUGAAAAGCCCGCUCGCCGGAAGACCAAGGGUUCCUGUCCAACGUUAAUCGGGGCAGGGUGAGUCGACCCCUAAGGCGAGGCCGAAAGGCGUAGUCGAUGGGAAACGGGUUAAUAUUCCCGUACUUGGUGUUACUGCGAAGGGGGGACGGAGAAGGCUAUGUUGGCCGGGCGACGGUUGUCCCGGUUUAAGCGUGUAGGUGUGUGUUCCAGGUAAAUCCGGUUCACUUUAACACUGAGGCGUGAUGACGAGGCACUACGGUGCUGAAGCAACAAAUGCCCUGCUUCCAGGAAAAGCCUCUAAGCAUCAGGUAACAUCAAAUCGUACCCCAAACCGACACAGGUGGUCAGGUAGAGAAUACCAAGGCGCUUGAGAGAACUCGGGUGAAGGAACUAGGCAAAAUGGUGCCGUAACUUCGGGAGAAGGCACGCUGACACGUAGGUGAAGUGAUUUACUCAUGGAGCUGAAGUCAGUCGAAGAUACCAGCUGGCUGCAACUGUUUAUUAAAAACACAGCACUGUGCAAACACGAAAGUGGACGUAUACGGUGUGACGCCUGCCCGGUGCCGGAAGGUUAAUUGAUGGGGUCAGCGCAAGCGAAGCUCCUGAUCGAAGCCCCGGUAAACGGCGGCCGUAACUAUAACGGUCCUAAGGUAGCGAAAUUCCUUGUCGGGUAAGUUCCGACCUGCACGAAUGGCGUAAUGAUGGCCAGGCUGUCUCCACCCGAGACUCAGUGAAAUUGAACUCGCUGUGAAGAUGCAGUGUACCCGCGGCAAGACGGAAAGACCCCGUGAACCUUUACUAUAGCUUGACACUGAACAUUGAGCCUUGAUGUGUAG
rnacentral:rRNA from 2 species